CUCCAUUCCGUUGCUCUCUCAGUCUCAGACCCGGGCUCUCGGUCCGCCGCUUCAGGUCUUGGCGCAGCCUCAGAGAGUUGGCGCGGCUCUGUGUUGACCAAACCUAGUGGAUGCAGUUAGCGCCGGAGCCCGGCCCCGCCCGUCACCAGGGUUAUUCCCGCCUUCUAGGUUUGCCAGGACUGCCGGCCCUGCAGCUGCCUUCUGCCCCAGGUUUUUGGCUACUGAUGUUACAAACAAUAAAAUAUUGGAGCAUAGAGUUGAAGAACAGACUCAAACCAGGUUUUUAUUUAAUUAGUUAAAAAUAUGGAUCCUGAGACAAGGGGACAAGAGAUUAUCAAAGUGACACCUCUUCAACAAAUGCUUGCCUCAUGUACUGGAGCUAUACUGACAUCAGUAAUAGAUACCACUCGCUAAUUGAAACUUAACAUAUCUUCAUAGUGACACCCCUGGAUGUUGUUAAAAUUAGACUCCAAGCCCAAAACAACCCACUCCCCAAAGG
rnacentral:lncRNA from 1 species